AAUAAACAUAUUACCAUUACAAUCCAACAUCUUCAGUGUAUACCAGCAUAUUGCAUGAUUUGCUAUACGAAAGAUAAGGAAUACAGAAAACGAAAUACACCCUUCAAGGAAAUCAUUGGUCAAAAUAUCAUACAGCCCUGAUGGAGGCUGGCACAGACUCAAAACAUUGACCUGCAAUUCUAUACCUACAAAGAACACCCAAGAAGGGUUCAUUACAUAAAAUUCAACUUAUGGAAGGGUCUGCAGAACUGAACCCUUUUAUAUACAAGAAAAGACCAAGCAUUGUAUAUCAAACAAACAUCUGUUAGAUUGCAGGGAAAUCACAGGAGCUUCAACAAUGUUUUAAUGGUAAACACUAACUAGGUACUAUUAUUAUACAUGUACUAAUGAAUUUCUUAAAAUUAGUGAGAUUUGUAUAAAUAUUGUACAUGACAUCUAAUAGCUGCAUUUAAAUGUGUUUGAAUAACUAAAAAAUUGCA